rnacentral:pre_miRNA from 1 species
CAAAUACUCCCUCCGUCCGGAAAUAUUUGUCAUCAAAAUGGAUAAAAGGAAAUGUAUCUAGACGUAUUUUAGUUUUAGAUACAUCUCUUUUUAUCCAUUUUGAUGACAAGUAUUUUCGAACGGAGGGAGUAUUUA